rnacentral:rRNA from 1 species
CCUACGGGAGGCAGCAGUGAGGAAUAUUGGUCAAUGGCCGGAAGGCUGAACCAGCCAUGCCGCGUGAAGGUCAGUGCCCUAUGGGCGUUAAACUUCUUUUGUGCGGGAGCAAUAAUGGUCACGUGUGGCCAGACGAGAGUACCGUACGAAUAAGCAUCGGCUAACUCCGUGCCAGCAGCCGCGGUAAUACGGGGGAUGCAAGCGUUAUCCGGAUUUAUUGGGGUUAAAGGGUGCGUAGGGUGGGAGGUAAGUCAGCGGGGGAAGUCCCCGGCUCAACGGGGGGAAGUGCCAUUGAUACUGCCUUGCUGGAGUGCGGAUGCGGUGGGAGGAAUGUGUGGUGUAGCGGUGAAAUGCAUAGAUAUCAGGCAGAACACCGAUUGCGAAGGCAGCUCACGAGUCCGCGAUUGACGCUGAGGCACGAAAGCGUGGGGAUCAAACAGGAUUAGAUACCCUGGUAGUC